rnacentral:rRNA from 1 species
CCUACGGGGGGCAGCAGUGGGGAAUAUUGGACAAUGGGGGCAACCCUGAUCCAGCCAUGCCGCGUGUGUGAAGAAGGCCCUCGGGUUGUAAAGCAUUUUCAGUGAGGAAGAACGCCUGGUGGUUAAUACCCAUCAGGAAAGACAUCACUCACAGAAGAAGCACCGGCUAACUCCGUGCCAGCAGCCGCGGUAAUACGGAGGGUGCGAGCGUUAAUCGGAAUUACUGGGCGUAAAGCGCGCGUAGGUGGCUUGAUAAGCCGGUUGUGAAAGCCCCGGGCUCAACCUGGGAACGGCAUCCGGAACUGUCAAGCUAGAGUGCAGGAGAGGAAGGUAGAAUUCCCGGUGUAGCGGUGAAAUGCGUAGAGAUCGGGAGGAAUACCAGUGGCGAAGGCGGCCUUCUGGACUGAAACUGACACUGAGGUGCGAAAGCGUGGGUAGCAAACAGGAUUAGAUACCCCGGUAGUC